UCUGCCCGUGGACGCUGCCGAAGAAGCAUCGUUAAAGUCUCUCUUCUCCCUGCCGUCAUGUCUAAGUCAGAGUCUCCUAAAGAGCCCGAACAGCUGAGGAAGCUCUUCAUUGGAGGGCUGAGCUUUGAAACAACCGAUGAGAGCCUGAGGAGCCAUUUUGAGCAAUGGGGAACGCUCACGGACUGUGUGGUAAUGAGAGAUCCAAACACCAAGCGUUCCAGGGGCUUUGGGUUUGUCACAUAUGCCACUGUGGGGGAGGUGGAUGCAGCUAUGAAUGCAAGGCCACACAAGGUGGACGGAAGAGUUGUGGAACCAAAGAGAGCUGUCUCAAGAGAAGAUUCUCAAAGACCAGGUGCCCACUUAACUGUGAAAAAGAUAUUUGUUGGUGGCAUUAAAGAAGACACUGAAGAACAUCACCUAAGAGAUUAUUUUGAACAGUAUGGGAAAAUUGAAGUGAUUGAAAUCAUGACUGACUGAGGCAGUGGCAAGAAAAGGGGCUUUGCCUUUGUAACCUUUGACGACCAUGACUCCGUGGAUAAGAUUGUCAUUCAGAAAUACCAUACUGUGAAUGGCCACAACUGUGAAGUUAGGAAAGCCCUGUCAAAGCAAGAGAUGGCUAGUGCUUCAUCCAGCCAUAGAGGUCGAAGUGGUUCUGGAAACUUUGGUGGUGGUCGUGGAGGUGGUUUCAGUGGGAAUGACAACUUCGGUUGUGGAGGAAACUUCAGUGGUGGUGGUGGCUUUGGUGGCAGCUGUGGUGGUGGAGGAUAUGGUGGCGGAUAUGGUGGCAGUGGGGAUGGCUAUAAUGGAUUUGGUAAUGAUGGAAGCAAUUUUGGAGGUGGUGGAAGCUACAAUGAUUUUGGCAAUUACAACAAUCAGUCUUCAAAUUUUGGACCAUGAAGGGAGGAAAUUUUGGAGGCAGAAGCUAUGGCCCCUAUGGCGGUGGAGGCCAAUACUUUGCAAAACCACGAAACCAAGGUGGCUAUGGCGGUUCCAGCAGCAGCAGUAGCUAUGGCAGUGGCAGAAGAU